rnacentral:rRNA from 1 species
AUUGAACGCUGGCGGCAGGCCUAACACAUGCACGUCGAACGAGUGGCGGACGGGUGAGUACUGUCUGGGAAACUGCCUGAUGGAGGGGGAUACCUACUGGAAACGGUAGCUAAUACCGCAUACCAUCGGAUGUGCCCAGAUGGUAUUAGCUAGUCGGUGGGGUAACGGCUCACCAAGGCGACGAUCCCUAGCUGGUCUGAGAGGAUGACCAGCCACAAUGGAACGGAGACACGGUCCAGACUCCUACGGGAGGCAGCAGUGGGGAAUAUUGCACAAUGGGGGCAAGCCUGAUGCAGCCAUGCCGCGUGUAUGAAGAAGGCCUUCGGGUUGUAAAGUACUUUCAGCGGGGAGGCGUUACCCGCAGAAGAAGCACCGGCUAACUCCGUGCCAGCAGCCGCGGUAAUAC